UGCACUGUAUGGUAUCUGCACUCAAUAGCACUACAACUGUUGACGUGUUCAAUAAACAGUGCAACACUAACUCAGCCAUUGGCAUCGUUGGUUUUCAGACCUCUUGUCUGGCAACCUGGUUUUUCUGCUGAUACAUUU